CUGAAAUAUUUGCAUAGAAUAAUAAAUAUAAAUAAAGAUAAAUAUAGCCAAAUACACUUGCAGGUGGCAUUUUUGGGAAUGGUAGCUUUCAAAAACACCAUCAGAGUUUUAAGUCAACACUCACAUACAGUAAAACCAGCUUCACUACACAUCUGUACUGUACAAAGCAAUGCAGGCGACAGUUUAAGCCCACAAACAACCCCUGUGGUGUGCUGACGGCCAUCAUUCCUUCCAAAAUGGCUACCAGAAUGCGUCAAUAAAUGUUGACAAAAUUGAGUGUGUGAGAAGGGCUGUUUACAGUUCCUUUGCAUUAAUGCAGUGGGAUAGAAACCGAAUAAAGACCGAGUAGAGCAUAAAAAUGUGCUCCUCUGGAAAAGUUGUAUGUAUAGG